rnacentral:rRNA from 1 species
GACGUAGAGCGCGAGCGUUGUCCGGAUUAUUGGGCGUAAGAGCUCGUAGGCGGCUUGUCGCGUCGUCCGUGAAAACUCACAGCUCAACUGUGAGCUUGCGGUCGAUACGGGCAGGCUAGAGGUUCGGUACGGGGAGACUGGAAUUCCUGGGUGUAGCGGUGAAAUGCGCAGAUAUCAGGAGGAACACCGGUGGCGAAGGCGGGUCUCUGGGACGGUACUGACGCUGAGACGCGAAAGCGUGGGGAGCGAACAGG